GACAGAGGGUGCAAACGUUGUUCGGAAUUACUGGGCGUAAAGCGCGUGUAGGCGGCAAUACAAGUCGGAUGUGAAAUCCCGCGGCUUAACCGUGGAAGUGCACCCGAAACUGUAUCGCUAGAGUCCCGGAGAGGAUGGUGGAAUACUUGGUGUAGAGGUGAAAUUCGUAGAUAUCAAGUGGAACUACCGGUGGCGAAGGACGGCCAUCUGGACGGUGACUGACGCUGAGACGCGAAAGCGUGGGUAGCAAACAGG
rnacentral:rRNA from 1 species